ACAAGUGGUUUGCGGUUGGAACAAGGCUUCGAUUCUGCGCCUACUAAUAAGCUGCCAUUUCACUUUGUCCAGGGAGGAUAAAAUGGAAAUAAAGCCAGCCUCCAGGGGAAGUGUAGCUAGCAAGCUCACACUUCCUCACACGUUGGAAAUGAUGAAUGCUGUUAGUUAAAACAAUCGGGAUGCAGAAACACACUCAAUAAUUUUUCUUGUUAGGAUUCGAUGCUAACACACUUGGAAAAACACCUCGCCUGUGUGCUGUCACUCACCUGUAUCCGGUCCCUGCUCCGAAUCCUGGUCCUUCUUCUUGUCUGUGAUGUCUUUGUGAGACACGAGGAAGAGGACCACCUCGCCCUUCUCGUUCUUGAUGGGUACGAUGUCCAGAAGACACCAGAACUGCGUGCCUGUACGCAAAACAAACACAGAAUGCGUCAAUCCGACAGCUGACCGGCAACAUUUCAAAGAACAUGCAGAUGUAAUUUAAAGUUGCUGGAUGCGGACCACUCGUGCAUCAGGAGGUCGCCUACAGCCACUGCUUUGUACGCAAAAGGAAGAAGAUGUACUAGGAACGAAAAGAAGAGAGAAGCUUGUCGACACAAACACACCAAUUUUCGAUCUCCGUCAAGAUGGGGAAAAAGCAUGAGAGGCGGGCAACCGUUUUAGAGAAUGCUCCGACCUUUAAAGAGCUCGGUUCACUCUCUCAUUGCUGGUAUUACUAUUGUUUGUAUUUACUCCUUUUUGUAAAAAUAAAUGGUUAAACCUCAA